rnacentral:rRNA from 1 species
UACGUAGGGUGCGAGCGUUAAUCGGAAUUACUGGGCGUAAAGCGUGCGCAGGCUGUUUUGUAAGUCAGAUGUGAAAUCCCUGAGCUCAACUUAGGAACUGCGUUUGAAACUACAAGACUAGAAUAUGUCAGAGGGGGGUAGAAUUCCACGUGUAGCAGUGAAAUGCGUAGAGAUGUGGAGGAAUACCAAUGGCGAAGGCAGCCCCCUGGGAUAAGUAUUGACGCUCAUGCACGAAAGCGUGGGGAGCAAACAGG